rnacentral:lncRNA from 1 species
GGGAAAACAAGGCCAGAGAUGGAAACAGAUAUACAGCAUUCCCACAGAUUUUAUAAAAAUUGGCUGAUGUACAGAGGAAAUCAGCACAGGUGUUAGAGGAAGGGUGGCACGGUGAGCUCAGGUAUUAUGUGCACCCUCUUCCCCAUCCCGUGGUUGGGAGAUGUGACAGGUAGCUGGUAGACCUUCAUGGUUAUUGAGGGGAUUUACUGGGGAAAUUACAGUGUCGGAGGAACGGAAAAGUCACAGGGGAAGCGAGGUUAUUGGUGUAGGGUGAGUGAGAGGAAAGAGGAUGGAGUAUAGAUUUGUGAAAAUCCAGUUUCAUUAGUCCCAUGGAACAACUUGUUUCACUGACUUAAUUGACUAAAAAAGCAGGAUCCUUUCUGAAGGAGCAAAACUUGACAGGAAAGUUACAUUUCUCCCUCCUAAAUGUCCAGUUCUCAUCAGGUAGUAGUGUCCAGCCAUAAAGACAAGGAGUCGGAUGGUUGCAAGUGCAAACUCCCAUCUUCAGUUCCCCAGCGCUGGAUUUAUCCACAGGGAUGCUGACGCAGGAGAGAAACUCCACAGCUUGGUCAGCCCUUGCACCAAAAAAUUACUGUGAAAAAAAAGCACAAGAGGUACAUGUCUGGCGGAAAGAACACCCCCAGUCUCGGCAGCAGCUGCCAUAAAGUUUGGAUGCCGACCUGAGCCUCCAGAAAGAUUUUUUCCCUGCAGAGGUGUGAGACACUUUGGCUGAUCAGGAUCUAAAUGUACAGAGAAAAAACACAGAUGUCAUUUCAGACUUGAACCAGUGCCAUCUACCUGAGCUUGAAAUCUUAUUGGAAAAAAAAGAGCAUUAAAAGGCUAAAAAAAUGAAAUUGAAAAGCUCUUCAAAUACCUAGUCCUGAACAAAUAGUUUCUUGAUAUCCUUAGAGCUAACAGAAGUGGACCUGGAGGGGAUUGAAAGAAAUACAAAAGCAUGAGUAAUUGGAAUAAGUAAACACGGACUAUUUCCUUUUUCCUGGUAUUUGCUUUAGUCAGAUUUAUGCAUAUAGAAAUCAAGUGACGUGGGACUCUAUCUUUCUCUCAC